rnacentral:rRNA from 1 species
CCUACGGGAGGCUGCAGUGAGGAAUAUUGGUCAAUGGACGAGAGUCUGAACCAGCCAAGUAGCGUGAAGGAUGACUGCCCUAUGGGUUGUAAACUUCUGUUAUAGGGGAAUAAAACAGGGUAGGCAUACCCUCUUGUAUGUACCAUAUGAAUAAGGAUCGGCUAACUCCGUGCCAUCAGCCGGGGUAAUACGGAGGAUCCGAGCGUUAUCCGGAUUUGUUGGGUUUCAAGGGGGCGUAGGGGGAUUGUUUAGUCAGUUUUGAAAGUUUGCGGCUCAACCGUAAAAUUGCAGUUGAAACUGGCAGUCUUGAGUACAGUAGAGGUGGGCGGAAUUCGUGGUGUAGCGGUGAAAUGCUUAGAUCUCACGAAGAACUCCGAUUGCGAAGGCAGCUCACUGGACUGCAACUGACACUGAUGCUCGAAAGUGUGGGUAUCAAACAGGCUUAGAUACCCCAGUAGUC